GAUGAAGAACGCAGCGAAAUGCGAUAAGUAAUGUGAAUUGCAGAAUUCAGUGAAUCAUCGAAUCUUUGAACGCACAUUGCGCCCGCUAGUAUUCUGGCGGGCAUGCCUGUCCGAGCGUCAUUUCAACCCUCAAGCCCCCGGGCUUGGUGUUGGGGAUCGGCGAGCCUCCGCGCCCGCCGUCCCCUAAAUCUAGUGGCGGUCUCGCUGUAGCUUCCUCUGCGUAGUAGCACACCUCGCACUGGGAAACAGCGCGGCCACGCCGUUAAACCCCCAACUUCUGAACGUUUGACCUCGGAUCAGGUAGGAAUACCCGCUGAACUUAAGCAUAUCAAUAAGCGGAA
rnacentral:misc_RNA from 1 species